GAUGAACGCUAGCGGCAGGCUUAAUACAUGCAAGUCGAGGGGCAUCAAGGUACACGAAAGUGUAUUGUUGGCGACCGGCGGACGGGUGAGUAAUAGGUAGGUAACCUACCUCAUACUGAGGCAUAGCUGGGAGAAAUUCCAGGUAAUUCCUCAUGAGGUUAUAUGACACAUGUGAUAUAAUCAAAGGUAUCGCAAGGUACUGGUAUGAGAUGGGCUUACUGACCAUUAGCUAGUUGGUGAGAUAAGAGCUCACCAAGGCGAAGAUGGUUAGGGGUUUUGAGAGAGAGAUCCCCCACAUUGGAACUGAGAUACGGUCCAGACUCCUACGGGAGGCAGCAGUGGGGAAUUUUGGACAAUGGGCGCAAGCCUGAUCCAGCCAUGCCGCGUGCAGGAUGAAGGCCUUCGGGUUGUAAACUGCUUUGUACGGAACGAAAGACUCUUUCUAAUAAGAGGUCCAUGACGGUACCGUAAGAAUAAGACACCGGCUAACU
rnacentral:rRNA from 1 species